GGACUACAGGGGUUUCUAAUCCUGUUUGCUCCCCUAGCUUUCGUCCCUCAGCGUCAGUUGUGAUCCAGCGAGCCGCUUUCGCCUCGGAUGUUCCUACGGAUAUCUACGCAUUUCACCGCUACACCCGUAAUUCCACUCGCCUCUCUCACACUCUAGCAUGGUAGUUUCGUUAGCAGCCUCUGGGUUAAGCCCAGAGAUUUCACUAUCGACUUACCACACCGCCUACGGACCCUUUACGCCCAGUAAUUCCGAGCAACGCUGGCCCCCUACGUAUUACCGCGGCGGCUGGCAC
rnacentral:rRNA from 1 species